rnacentral:ncRNA from 1 species
CCUUAUUUCGAGUGGCUGAGGGAACAGGCCCUGCGAAGCCCGACAACCUGCCUUACGGCAAGGUGUCAAAUCCUGCGGUGAAAGCCGAAAGAUAAGG